rnacentral:rRNA from 1 species
GCUCCCUCCGCGCCGAUCAGACUCUACGGAGGCAGCAUGGGGAAUAUUGCACAAUGGGCGCAAGCCUGAUGCAGCAACGCCGCGUGAGGGACGACGGCCUUCGGGUUGUAAACCGUCUUUUAGUAGGGAAGAAGCGAAAGUGACGGUACCUGCNGAAAGCACCGGCUACUACGUGCCAGCAGCCGCGGUAAUAC